UGGCGGACGGGUGAGUAACGCGUGGGUAACCUGCCUCAUACAGGGGGAUAACAGUUAGAAAUGACUGCUAAUACCGCAUAAGCGCACAAAACCGCAUGGUUUGGUGUGAAAAACUGAGGUGGUAUGAGAUGGACCCGCGUCUGAUUAGCUAGUUGGAGAGGUAACGGCUCACCAAGGCAACGAUCAGUAGCCGACCCGAGAGGGUGACCGGCCACAUUGGGACUGAGACACGGCCCAAACUCCUACGGAAGGCAGCAG
rnacentral:rRNA from 1 species